CGUGUAGCCGGGUGUGCAAGUCAGAUGUGAAAUCUGGAGGCUCAACCUCCAAACUGCAUUUGAAACUGCGCAUCUUGAGUAUCGGAGAGGUAAUCGGAAUUCCUUGUGUAGCGGUGAAAUGCGUAGAUAUAAGGAAGAACACCAGUGGCGAAGGCGGAUUACUGGACGACAACUGACGGUGAGGCGCGAAAGCGUGGGGAGCAAACAG
rnacentral:rRNA from 1 species